AUGACACAUGGUCGCAUGGUUGUGUGUGGAAAGUUUUUUCGGCCAGGGAUGUGCUCGCGGCCUAUCAGCUUGAUGGUGAGGUAAUGGCUCACCAUGGCUUCGACGGGUAGCCGGCCUGAGAGGGUGACCGGUCACACUGGGACUGAGACACGGCCCAGACUCCUACGGGAGGCAGCAGUGGGGAAUAUUGGACAAUGGGCGGAAGCCUGAUCCAGCAACGCCGCGUGGGGGAUGACGGCCUUCGGGUUGUAAACCUCUUUCGCCUAGGACGAAGCGCAAGUGACGGUACUAGGUAAAGAAGCACCGGCCAACUACGUGCCAGCAGCCGCGGUAAUACGUAGGGUGCGAGCGUUGUCCGGAAUUAUUGGGCGUAAAGGGCUCGUAGGCGGUUUGUCGCGUCGGGAGUGAAAACCACAUGCUUAACAUGUGGCUUGCUUUCGAU
rnacentral:rRNA from 1 species